rnacentral:rRNA from 1 species
GGGGAAUUUUGGACAAUGGGCGCAAGCCUGAUCCAGCAAUGCCGCGUGCAGGAUGAAGGCCUUCGGGUUGUAAACUGCUUUUGUACGGAACGAAAAAGCUCUCUCUAAUACAGGGGGUGAAUGACGGUACCGUAAGAAUAAGCACCGGCUAACUACGUGCCAGCAGCCGCGGUAAUACGUAGGGUGCAAGCGUUAAUCGGAAUUACUGGGCGUAAAGCGUGCGCAGGCGGUUUUGUAAGACAGAGGUGAAAUCCCCGGGCUCAACCUGGGAACUGCCUUUGUGACUGCAAAGCUGGAGUGCGGCAGAGGGGGAUGGAAUUCCGCGUGUAGCAGUGAAAUGCGUAGAUAUGCGGAGGAACACCGAUGGCGAAGGCAAUCCCCUGGGCCUGCACUGACGCUCAUGCACGAAAGCGUGGGGAGCAAACA